rnacentral:rRNA from 7 species
AAAUUGAAGAGUUUGAUCAUGGCUCAGAUUGAACGCUGGCGGCAGGCCUAACACAUGCAAGUCGAACGGUAACAGGAAGAAGCUUGCUUCUUUGCUGACGAGUGGCGGACGGGUGAGUAAUGUCUGGGAAACUGCCUGAUGGAGGGGGAUAACUACUGGAAACGGUAGCUAAUACCGCAUAACGUCGCAAGACCAAAGAGGGGGACCUUCGGGCCUCUUGCCAUCGGAUGUGCCCAGAUGGGAUUAGCUUGUUGGUGGGGUAACGGCUCACCAAGGCGACGAUCCCUAGCUGGUCUGAGAGGAUGACCAGCCACACUGGAACUGAGACACGGUCCAGACUCCUACGGGAGGCAGCAGUGGGGAAUAUUGCACAAUGGGCGCAAGCCUGAUGCAGCCAUGCCGCGUGUAUGAAGAAGGCCUUCGGGUUGUAAAGUACUUUCAGCGGGGAGGAAGGGAGUAAAGUUAAUACCUUUGCUCAUUGACGUUACCCGCAGAAGAAGCACCGGCUAACUCCGUGCCAGCAGCCGCGGUAAUACGGAGGGUGCAAGCGUUAAUCGGAAUUACUGGGCGUAAAGCGCACGCAGGCGGUUUGUUAAGUCAGAUGUGAAAUCCCCGGGCUCAACCUGGGAACUGCAUCUGAUACUGGCAAGCUUGAGUCUCGUAGAGGGGGGUAGAAUUCCAGGUGUAGCGGUGAAAUGCGUAGAGAUCUGGAGGAAUACCGGUGGCGAAGGCGGCCCCCUGGACGAAGACUGACGCUCAGGUGCGAAAGCGUGGGGAGCAAACAGGAUUAGAUACCCUGGUAGUCCACGCCGUAAACGAUGUCGACUUGGAGGUUGUGCCCUUGAGGCGUGGCUUCCGGAGCUAACGCGUUAAGUCGACCGCCUGGGGAGUACGGCCGCAAGGUUAAAACUCAAAUGAAUUGACGGGGGCCCGCACAAGCGGUGGAGCAUGUGGUUUAAUUCGAUGCAACGCGAAGAACCUUACCUGGUCUUGACAUCCACGGAAGUUUUCAGAGAUGAGAAUGUGCCUUCGGGAACCGUGAGACAGGUGCUGCAUGGCUGUCGUCAGCUCGUGUUGUGAAAUGUUGGGUUAAGUCCCGCAACGAGCGCAACCCUUAUCCUUUGUUGCCAGCGGUCCGGCCGGGAACUCAAAGGAGACUGCCAGUGAUAAACUGGAGGAAGGUGGGGAUGACGUCAAGUCAUCAUGGCCCUUACGACCAGGGCUACACACGUGCUACAAUGGCGCAUACAAAGAGAAGCGACCUCGCGAGAGCAAGCGGACCUCAUAAAGUGCGUCGUAGUCCGGAUUGGAGUCUGCAACUCGACUCCAUGAAGUCGGAAUCGCUAGUAAUCGUGGAUCAGAAUGCCACGGUGAAUACGUUCCCGGGCCUUGUACACACCGCCCGUCACACCAUGGGAGUGGGUUGCAAAAGAAGUAGGUAGCUUAACCUUCGGGAGGGCGCUUACCACUUUGUGAUUCAUGACUGGGGUGAAGUCGUAACAAGGUAACCGUAGGGGAACCUGCGGUUGGAUCACCUCCUUACCUUAAAGAAGC